AAAAUUUUCCGUGGUGGAUGGCGUCCGUUUGGAGCGUGAAUUUUUCCUCGGAAAAGUUCUCCCUCGAUGCCAUUGGAUGACAAAAUGUGAUGAUCGUCGCAGCAAAUACAACAGCUUUGAGGUUUUAGAUCUCGGUCUUUUUGAAAGGUUAAUUUUUUAAUUUCCAAAAUAACCUGUUUUGGUUAUGUGUGGAAUGGAAAUUUGAUUUUUAACCCAGAAAAGGGAUCUCCGGGAACUAAAACCUUUAAAGUGGUUUGCCUCGACAAUGGGAAUUUGCUUCAAUGCUCUCCCGCAGUGUCAUCUGAACAUGAUCAGCAAAUGUGACUAUCCUUGUAGCAAAUACAACAGCUUUAGGGUUUUAGGCCUCGGUCUUUUUGAAAGGUUAAUUUUCGAAUUUCCAAAAUAACCUGUUUUGGUUAUGUGUGGAGUGGAAAUUUGAAUUUUAACCCAGAAAAGGGAUCUCCGGGGGCUAAUACCUUGAAGUGAUUUGCAUUGACAGAGGGAAUUGACUUCAAUGCUCUCCCAAGGUGUCAUAUGAUCGUGAUCAGCAAAUGUGACGAUCGUUACAGUAAAUGCAACUGCUUUGAGGUUUUAGGCCUCGGUCUUUUUGAAAGGUUAAUUUUCAAAUUUCCAAAAUAACCUUUUUUUUGGUUAUGUGGGAAUGGAAGUUGAUUUUUAACCCAGAGAAGGGAUCUCCGGGGACUAAUACUUUAAAGUGGUUUGCCUUUGCAGAGGGAAAUGACUUCAAUACUUUAUCCCUCGGUGUCAUCUCACGGCCAAAAAUGACGAUCUCAAUAAUAUUCGUCUGGACGGAGGGAAUUUGCUCCAACGAGCCAUCUCAGGAAAUAAUGGAAUGUGAGUUAAAUUUAUAAAGUGUAAAGUGAUUGCGCGAUUUUAAAAACUAUUUAAGUUUCAUUAAAUAGUUUGUUAAAAAUUAAAAAAAAAAAAUUAAAAUCACGUUAAAUUUUGUGAAGUGUUAAGUGAAUACGCGUUUUCAAAAAAUAUUUCAAUCACAGUAAAAAGUUGAAUUAAUAUAAAAAUCUAAAUUAAAAUUAAAUAUAAUUUCUAAAUCUUAAUGUUAGUGCGCGUUUUUAAAUAAAAUUUAAAUCACGGUGAAAAGUUAAAUAAUUAAUAUAAAUAAUUAAAUUAAAAUUAAAUCAAAUGUAUAAAGUGUAAAGUGAGUGCGCGUUUUUAAACAAAAUUUAAAUCACAGUGAAAAGUUAAAUAAUUAAUAGAAAAAACUAAAUUAAAAUUAAAUCAAAUGUAUAAAAUAUAAAAAGUGAGUGCGCGUUGAAAAAAAAUAUUUGAAUCACAGUAAAAAGUUGAAAUUACAUUAAAAACUAAAUUGAAAUUAAUUAAUAGUAAUAUUAUUUUGAAUUUUUCUUUAUUUUUUGAAUUUUUCAUUUUAUUACAUUAACAU